GACGAACGCUGGCGGCGUGCUUAACACAUGCAAGUCGAACGGAGAUUCAGCAAUGGAUCUUAGUGGCGAACGGGUGAGUAACGCGUAGGCAAUCUGCCUUCUAGAUGGGGACAACAUCCCGAAAGGGGUGCUAAUACCGAAUGUUGUAGUUGGUUCGCAUGGACUAGCUACUAAAGGUGGCCUCUGAAUAUGCUACCGCUAGAAGAUGAGCCUGCGUCUGAUUAGCUAGUUGGAGGGGUAACGGCCCACCAAGGCUUCGAUCAGUAGCCGGUCUGAGAGGAUGAACGGACACACUGGGACUGAGACACGGCCCAGACUCCUACGGGAGGCAGCAGUUGGGAAUCUUCCGCAAUGGACGAAAGUCUGACGGAGCAACGCCGCGUGAGUGAAGAAGGUUUUCGGAUCGUAAAGCUCUUUCGUUAGGGACGAACGUGCUCUUUGUGAAUAAUGAGGAGUAAUGACGGUACCUAAAUAAGAAGCCACGGCUAACUACGUGCCAGCCGCCGCUGUAA
rnacentral:rRNA from 1 species